AUUUUGAAUUGAGGACCAGGGAUUGUAUUGUCUUCCCCAGGCCAAGCAUCCAUCAUCUGUACACCAUGAGUGUUCAAAGAGUGGUUGGAUGGAUGGGUGAAAACACGGAAAGACGGAUAGGUGGAUGAAUAGAAGGAUAGGUGGGUGCAUGGAUGGAUGAGUGGAUGGAUGGGUAGGUGUAUGGAUGGGUGUGGAUGAAUGGACAGAAGGCCCUCCCUUCAGGAAGUGGUUGUUAACACUUCCUUAUCUGGUUGUCUGUUG